rnacentral:rRNA from 1 species
UAAGCGGAGGACAAGAAACUAAAUAGGAUUCCCUCAGUAAUGGCGAAUGAACAGGGAUAAGCUCAGCAUGGAAAUUGGGGCCUCUGGCCUUGAAUUGUAGUCUUGAGAUGGCAUUGCCAGUGGAGGCGCAGAUGUAAGCCUCUUGGAAAAGAGCAUCAAUGAGGGUGAGAGUCCCGUUUGUCAUCUGCAGUCCCCCAUAAACGGUGUGCUUUCUAAGAGUCACGUUCCUUGGGAUUGGAGCGCAAAUUGGGUGGUAAAUUUCAUCUAAAGCUAAAUAUUGGUUCGAGACCGAUAGCAAACAAGUACCAUGAGGGAAAGGUGAAAAGGACUUUGAAAAGAGAGUUAAAAGUGCCUGAAAUUGCUGAAAGGGAAGCGAAUGGAACCAGUCUUCUGGGCGAGAUUGUUGCGCGCUACUGUGAUUGCCUGCUGCUUCAACGCAAGUGUCGCAGUGGGUUUUGAGCAUGACGUGCGCUUUGUUUCUUGCCUCGUGUGUCAACGUCGGUUCGGACUUGAGGAAAACUCCAGGGACAUGGUAAAUCGCUCGUGGGUGAUUGAAUGUGCUUGGCAGAACUCAUUUCUUAACUGAUUUCUGCAUGUCUGGUCGCAGUGCCUCGUUGCCUGCGCUCGCUGCCUCGGGUCUGGAGCUUCAGCUCUUCCUCGUUGCUUUGAGCCUGGUCGUGUGGCAUCUCCCUGACAUAAGUACGAUGACAAAAUGGUUUCAUUCGACCCGUCUUGA